rnacentral:rRNA from 1 species
CCUACGGGGUGCAGCAGUGGGGAAUAUUGCACAAUGGGGGAAACCCUGAUGCAGCGACGCCGCGUGAGUGAAGAAGUAAUUCGUUACGUAAAGCUCUAUCAGCAGGGAAGAAACACUGACCUUACGGUCAGCAGACGGUACCUGAGUAAUGAGCCCCGGCUAACUACGUGCCAGCAGCCGCGGUAAUACGUAGGGGGCAAGCGUUAUCCGGAUUUACUGGGUGGAAAGGGAGCGUAGACGGUGCGCCAAGUCUGGAGUGAAAUGCCGCAGCUUAACUGCGGAACUGCUUUGGAUACUGGCGGACUAGAGUGCGGGAGGGGAAAGCGGAAUUCCGAGUGUAGCGGUGAAAUGCGUAGAUAUUAGGAGGAACACCGGUGGCGAAGGCGGCUUACUGGACCGUAACUGACGUUGAGGCUCGAAAGCGUGGGGAGCAAACAGGAUUAGAUACCCUAGUAGUC